GGGGAAAGUACAUUUUUCUACAGGCUGAGUACACAGGCAGUCAGAAACAUCAUUCAACUUGAGGAAAAGAACUGAACUAACCCAACUGAUGCGUUUGAGAGAAAAAACUGCACACAUGCAGACUUGAGAGGCAUCAAAGGCAAGCUGGGAGAUCUACCACAUCUUGCUGCUGCCCAAGAUCACUGCUUUUCCUUGUAUGCAAGUUUCCACUGAGUAAAUCUUUGACUACCCACCAACCUGGAGAGGUCUGCCUCUUUGGUCUGGUCUUUCCCUCUGCUUAUUGAGAGCAGUUCUUGGUUGUGGCAGGGAGUUUUCCCAGCAAAUGUGUAAACCAGAAGUAUUAGGUUGGUGCAAAAGUCAUUGUGGGUUUUGCCAUCAUGUUUAAUACAAGGCACUAAAGAAAAUGUUGAAAUAAAAAAUCUAAAUAACUGAACUCUGAUUCAGAAUCUCUGGCCAAUGACCUCAUGAAAGUUGCUAAUUUUCAAACAUGAUAGCAUGAGAGAUCAUUUCCAAAAAUUUCAGAUGAUCUGAGGUUUUAUUAAAUUAAAUUAAAUUUUUUUAUUGAGCAAUUUAUUUUUAUUUUCUUUCAUAUGUAUUUUUUAUUGUACU
rnacentral:lncRNA from 1 species